rnacentral:rRNA from 1 species
GUACACUCCUACGGGAGGCAGCAGUGGGGAAUAUUGCACAAUGGGCGCAAGCCUGAUGCAGCCAUGCCGCGUGUGUGAAGAAGGCCUUCGGGUUGUAAAGCACUUUCAGCGGGGAGGAAGGCGAUACGGUUAAUAACCGUGUUGAUUGACGUUACCCGCAGAAGAAGCACCGGCUAACUCCGUGCCAGCAGCCGCGGUAAUACGGAGGGUGCAAGCGUUAAUCGGAAUUACUGGGCGUAAAGCGCACGCAGGCGGUCUGUCAAGUCGGAUGUGAAAUCCCCGGGCUCAACCUGGGAACUGCAUUCGAAACUGGCAGGCUUGAGUCUUGUAGAGGGGGGUGGAAUUCCAGGUGUAGCGGUGAAAUGCGUAGAGAUCUGGAGGAAUACCGGUGGCGAAGGCGGCCCCCUGGACAAAGACUGACGCUCAGGUGCGAAAGCGUGGGGAGCAAACAGGAUUAGAUACCCUAGUAGUCCCAUG